CCGUACAUUCCAUGCAGCACCCAGCCUGUUGUCAUCCUGGUCUGAGCCACCAGAUGGCACUGUGGUAAAGAAGAAGUUACAGCAUGAUUUCUUGGCUCGGGAGACAAGGAUUCAAAUCCCGGUCAACCCUAUCGAGCAGCUCUAUCAGCUACACCACAUGAGUCAUGCUUCCUUCAUCUUAGGAGUAAAGUGUGUCAAAAACAGCAAGAUGUACACGACAAUAGCUGCCUUCAUCUAGCACUCUAGCGCACAGGACGAAGCCAACAGCUACUGUUUCCAGACCUGCCGAGCCUGAUCACCCCUCUGUGAUUGUUGCUUCUGUUAAAGGAACUUAUAAACCAUGCGCAAGAUUAGGCCAGCCCAGAAGAUGUGAAGAACCUGCAGCACCAUCAGCAGGACGUUGAAAAAGUAGUAGCCGGGAAAAGGUUUAAAAUCCUCCAUGGACAGUACCAGAGUGGUAUGGAUG